CCUACGGGUGGCAGCAGUGGGGAAUAUUGGGCAAUGGGCGCAAGCCUGACCCAGCAACGCAGCGUGAAGGAAGAAGGCUUUAGGGGUGUAAACUUCUUUUAAGAGGGAAGAGAAGAAGACGGUACCUCUUGAAUAAGCUACGGCUAACUACGUGCCAGCAGCCGCGGUAAUACGUAGGUGGCAAGUGUUGUCCGGAUUUAGUGGGUGUAAAGGGCGUGUAGCCGGGUUGACAAGUCAGUGGUGAAAUUCAGGGACUCAACCCAGGACCUGCAUUUGAAACUGUUAGUCUUGAGUAUCGGAGAGGCAGGCGGAAUUCCUGGUGUAGCGGUGAAAUGCGUAGAUAUUAGGAAGAACACCGGUGGCGAAGGCAGCCUGCUGGACGGCAACUGACAGUGAGGCGCGAAAGCGUGGGGAGCAAACAGGAUUAGAUACCCUAGUAGUC
rnacentral:rRNA from 1 species